AUUCAGCUUGACAAUUUUCUAGCUGUCCUCUCCUUAUCCUUUGAGAUUCAACAAACUGUUUUUACUGUUUAGCAUACAACUGCUGAACGCUUAAAAGCAAGACUCAUGCUUUUUUCAUAAUAUGAUAACUAAUGAAACUACAAUGUUUCUUGAUAGCAGAUAAUUGCUUUAUCUGUUAAUUAUGAGUAAACUAAUAAACUAAAUAGAUGUUAUAUUUCGGCAGAGGUUGAAUCUCUUGUCUGUUGCCAACAUGCCUGGGCCUAAAUCCAAAACAAAGGAAGCACAUGCAGCCCUAGCCUGUGUAGAGGACAAGACUGAAGAUGUAUCACAAGAACUGCAGGUGCAUCUCAACCUCUUUGUCAAGAUUGACCCAGGCAGGGAGACGAGGAGACGACGUAAGUGCAGAUAAGGCUGAAGAUCCAGGGGUUCAUGGACAGAGGGAAUUGUGGUAAACUGACAUGCUGGUGCUGCUGUUCUCCCACUGCACACGGUCACUCAGGUUUGUGGACGGUUGAGUGGGUGGAUGCCAGUGUUUCAGGGCGCCUCCAUGUCUAUGUUACAUUCUGGCUCUCUCCCUUUAGUUAGCCUGUUUUAUUUAGAUCUGCCGGAGUCAUACACUGAAAAUGUUUUAUAUUCUCCGUUUUUACAUAAAUCCAGUCAAAUCUAAUUCCAUCUCUCUGCCUUCCUCCAAGUUACUGACUGCCCACCUGUCUGACCUGAUACUGAUGGAUGUUGGACCCUCAGGCUCUAAUGUCCCCUGUCUGGCCAGACUGGACGUUUCUGAAGUCAGCACUUCUCCAUCACCCACCACAAAUCAGCUGCUCAUCGUCCCUCUCACUCUAUAAGCCAUUAGUGGCACUGUUAUACUCCUGAAUAUAUAAAACCUAUGUGGAUGUAUAAAAGACUUUUUAAAUUUUAAUUUAAAAGCCGUUUGACCAGUGGUAGGAUGGUCCCCCCUUAAAUAUGUGUCUUGGUUUCUUCCUCCUCCUGCAGCUCUGAGGGAGUUUUUCCUUGCCUCCGCGCUCACUGGGGGUUCUGUAUUUUCUAUGUUUAAUCUUUUGCCUGACGCUUUGUCCUGUGAUCACAUUUCUGUAAAGCUGCUUCGUGCCAACACCAGUUGUAAAAAGCACUAUAGAAAUAAAUUUGAUUUGAUUUGAUUAUACCAAAGAACCAAUAUAACUGGGAUUAUAAUGACCAUAGAAACAAUGAAAAUCUACCAUGACCAAGUGAAGAAUUCUUUCCUAUAACUGUAUUUCUGUAUUACAACCUUUCCUUACCUAGCCUCACACUGUCUAAUCUAAUCUACAUUUGGCACCCUAUAUAAUAUUGGUAUAUUUCUAUACCUUAUCUGACUCAAAAGUCUCAACCCUAAUCUGCUGUGGUGGAGCACCACCUUUGAACACAUGCAAGAUGAAGAAUCGUUGCGACUUACACCCAUAUUGGUAUACAGCACAUUUAUGGCAGGGUUUCACGGUUUGGCACAGUUACAGGACAUCGCGCACCAUAAGGCAAACUAGCACUGGAAGGACCAUGAAUUACUUGCCUGAUCAGUCAGACUCAAUGUAACAUUAUUCUUUAUUUUCAUAACCAGGCGGAAACAACAAAAUCUGUAGGGUAAUUUACCACAGCAUUUCUUAGAUAAAACUCGGAUGUGAGAAAUCCCAGAACAUGAAAAGAUAACCACUAAAAGUCAAAGAUUAGGAUUUAAAAUAUAUUACAAUUUACUGGAAAAAUAGUUUCAGCAUUAAGGAUAUAUAAAAGGAACAUAAAUUAAUAGAUACAUCAGAAAAGAGUAAAAGUACAUCAACGAGUCAACACAUAGUAUAAUUAUAUCUCGAUAGAUUAAUACAUUCACAACCCAGAGAAAGUAAGAGAGAAAGAGAAAGAAAAAGAAAGCGUCUCCUUACAGACUUCAUCCAAGCAGAUAUACAUUUAUGGGUGAUUGACAUAUUUGGCUGAACAAAUGAUAAAAUUGAUAUAUAUAUAUCAAAUGUAAGUCAGUAAAUUACUGGGUUAUAUUCUACCAACUUUUAUAUUUUCAGAUAUAUAUAUAGUUUUGUAGAUUUUUUUCUUGAAAUUGACAUUUAUUCACUAGUUUACGGUCUU